CCUACAUUGUUCGUUCUCUGUUGCAAUUGCAAAAGCUAAGAAAAGCCCCAAAAUCAAAAGCCGCGCAAACAGGCGCUUAAAAUGGAGGAGAGCUCCGGUGCUUCAGACGCUGCAAUCGAAACCCUAAGGAGCAGGGGAUGGUGCUUCGGCGACCUGGAACAAGUGAAGGCGAUGAUCAUGAUCCACUCCGCUUUGGCCGACGACACGCGUACGGUGGUGAAUUCAGUGGAAUCGGAGCUCACCAACAUGGACCUCAAAUCCAUCUCCGCCAAGUCCUUGCCCGACCCGAAUACUCUCCCCAAAUCAUCUCAUCUUCUCGGCCCUCAAGUCCUCCAGAUAGCUUGGGUUAGAGACAUUACCAGAAGCAGUGUGGAGGAUUUUGCGAGAAAUUCAAGUAGUCGGCGUCUUUUAAAGCUUGGGCUAACAGACGGCCACAGCGAGGUAGCAGCUGUAGAGUACUCUCAUAUCCCAUCAAUCCCUGACGACGUCGUUCCUGGUACAAAGGUCCGUUUGGAAGGUAGAGCUGCUAUACGUAAUGGAAUAGUAUGUUUGAAUCCUAAAGUUGUGACUUUGUUAGGAGGCGUUGUUCAGUCACUUUAUGAAGAAUGGCAGAUGAAUAAAAAAUAUUCAGGUUUUUCCCGCUCAUCUUUAAGGGUUUCACAGGAAAGUGACGGUAACGGCCCCCCUCCAUUUGAGAAGUUGCAAGUUGGGGUACCCAAAAGUCGGUUUCCUCAGCAGGACAAGUCUUCUUAUUACUCUGAUGUGAACUCCAAGAGCAGUGGGCCUAUUGCCAGAAACGUUGAGGUUAGGCCAAUUGGAAGGCAGCAGGACCUUCAUUUGAAAUCAAACGACGCGGAUAACUCUGAUAAAAAGAAUGACACAGAUAACAAGCUUACGACAGAUUCCCUUGAUGAACAAACUCAAGAUAAACCUAGUAGCUCUGCAGCGAGGCCAAAAGAAGUAAUUGAAGCUGUCCCUGUUCAAAACCAAGCGGCUGCACAAAAACUCCUCCAGAAAAUGAGUCAUCAAAACCGGGAUGACAGGCAUUCAAGAGGUAGACAAUAUAGAGGAAAGGGGAGGCAAGAGGAAGAGCCUGUGGUGUUCACUUUGGAUGAAUGGGAAAAGAGGAAAGCUGGAGCAAAGCCUUCAAUAAGAAAUCCCUUUGCACAGAGCAGUCGUGACGAGGAACUUGCAAGGCAGCUCCAAAAUCAAUUUGAUUUGGAAGAUUAUCAUGUACAAAAGGGUCCUCCUCGUGAUGUGAAUGCAGAGAAUAUAAAAAUGAGCAUGUUUAACUUCCAAAGAGAUGACGAGGGUGGUCGUGGAAUGGGACAGGAAGGGAGGGGAAGAGGAAGAGGAAGGGGGCGGGGGAGGAGUAGAGGUGGGGGGAGGGGUAGAGGAGGAUUUCGUUGACGUUUUAAAACCUCAUUUUGUUGUAUUCUCAUCAAUUUUUUGUGUGUGCCAGCCGUCUUCUUCUUCAUUGUCUGGGGUGAAAUUAAAGCCUAAAUUUUUGGGCAAAAUGAAAUGAUUCAUCAGCCUCGGCCAAGAAUAUACUCUAUCUAAACACGAAAAAGGGUUGGUGGGCUUUGCAUGGCUGUUUAAAUCAACUUUCUUUGGGACCAAUCACUUAUUUAGGAAAAAGGAAAAUAAAUCAACUUUCUGUGUGCCAGCUAU